CGUGCGCUGACAGCACCUAGUUAGGUACUGUGCUACUAGCUAGAAGCUAGCGCUGUUAGCGGUUAGCCACCUUGUUCUCAAAGGCAAAACACUGCUACAACACAC